CCUACGGGCGGCAGCAGUGAGGAAUAUUGGUCAAUGGGCGUAAGCCUGAACCAGCCAAGUCGCGUGAAGGAUGAAUGUUCUAUGGGUUGUAAACCUCUUUUAUAAGGGAAUAAAGUGCGGGACGUGUCCCUUUUUGUAUGUACCUUAUGAAUAAGGAUCGGCUAACUCCGUGCCAGCAGCCGCGGUAAUACGGAGGAUCCGAGCGUUAUCCGGAUUUAUUGGGUUUAAAGGGUGCGUAGGCGGCCUUUUAAGUCAGCGGUGAAAGUCUGUGGCUCAACCGUAGAAUUGCCGUUGAAACUGGGAGGCUUGAGUAUAUUUGAGGCAGGCGGAAUGCGUGGUGUAGCGGUGAAAUGCUUAGAUAUCACGAAGAACCCCGAUUGCGAAGGCAGCCUGCCAAGCCAUGACUGACGCUGAUGCACGAAAGCGUGGGGAUCAAACAGGAUUAGAUACCCUGGUAGUC
rnacentral:rRNA from 1 species